GGAUCGAUGAUGUCUAAAAAAAAAUGGAAACUUUUGAAAUCUGAACAAAAUGAGUGAGGACUCGAGCUGAGGUCC
rnacentral:snoRNA from 1 species